ACCAUAACAGUGGUAGAGCGCGUCACUAGUAAUGACGAGGUUGCCGGUUCGAUUCCGUCUAUGGGCA
rnacentral:tRNA from 1 species